rnacentral:lncRNA from 1 species
GUCUGCUCAGCACACGGGAGAGUACCGCGCGCAGGCUCACGCUGCCUCUGCCCCAGCCACCAUAACGCUGCACUCCCUCCCCGCUGGAGCAUUCGGCAGUGUAUCGGGCACUGUAACGUUCAGUGUUAUAAAGGCCGAGCGUGGAGUUCUUGACUUGAUCUCGUGCAUCAGUGAGGGCCUUCUGCACAGAAAGCAAAGACACGUUCUGAUCUCCACUGAGCUGCUCCGUUCAGCUGUGACUGCCGUGUUAAGUUUGCACUGGGCAGCAGGAGUGACACCGAACACAAUCCAGGAAGUCGGAUUUAACGGCCUAUUUCGAUCAGAAAGUGAACUUCCCGCAAGUUCAAGACAGGAUAAAGUUUUAGCAGUCCUUACUAUCCUUGCUGGCUUUCCAAUCUUUGAACUGGCGUGCAUUUCUUCUGCCUUAUUCUCUAUAUGCUAUAAGAUAAUAUUAAUAAAUGUUAUCUCCCGACCGCCGAUAUACCAGCCAUUUUUUACCACAGCGAGCCUGCAUUUUCCACUUCAGUCCCCUACAAUUUUGAACAAUUUGG